UUUAACUCGAUAUACCCCUCUCACUUUUGAAAAAUUCUUCUUUCUCCCCGUAAUAUAAUAUAUUUUCUUUUUGAUUUUUCUUUAAAUGAGAAAUGCGGUCAACCCUUCAUAAAAUAGCUUAAUUACAAAGAUCCAACCUUAAAGAUCCGACCGACCCAAACUCUAUCCGGUUCAACCCUUAUCUUUACCUAAACAACAGCGUUUUGUCCCAAUAUCUCUCACAUCCAACUCUCGAAUCAAA
rnacentral:lncRNA from 1 species